ACUCCUACGGGAGGCAGCAGUGGGGAAUAUUGCACAAUGGGCGCAAGCCUGAUGCAGCCAUGCCGCGUGUAUGAAGAAGGCCUUCGGGUUGUAAAGUACUUUCAGCGGGGAGGAAGGCGAUAAGGUUAAUAACCUUGUCGAUUGACGUUACCCGCAGAAGAAGCACCGGCUAACUCCGUGCCAGCAGCCGCGGUAAUACGGAGGGUGCAAGCGUUAAUCGGAAUUACUGGGCGUAAAGCGCACGCAGGCGGUCUGUCAAGUCGGAUGUGAAAUCCCCGGGCUCAACCUGGGAGCUGCAUUCGAAACUGGCAGGCUAGAGUCUUGUAGAGGGGGGUAGAAUUCCAGGUGUAGCGGUGAAAUGCGUAGAGAUCUGGAGGAAUACCGGUGGCGAAGGCGGCCCCCUGGACAAAGACUGACGCUCAGGUGCGAAAGCGUGGGGAGCAAACAGGAUUAGAUACCCCAGUAGUCCCA
rnacentral:rRNA from 1 species